AAUCAACGCUGGCGGCGUGCCUAACACAUGCAAGUCGAACGCGAAAGUGGAGCAAUCCAUGAGUAGAGUGGCAAACGGGUGAGUAACGCGUGGGCGACCUACCUUCGAGUGGGGGAUAACCUUCCGAAAGGAGGGCUAAUACCGCAUGACAUCCCGUGUUUGGAUACACGGACAUCAAAGCCGGGGAUCGUAAGACCUGGCGCUUGAAGAGGGGCCCGCGUCCGAUUAGCUAGCGGUGAGGUAACGGCUUACCAAGGCUCCGAUCGGUAUCCGGCCUGAGAGGGCGGACGGACACACUGGAACUGAGACACGGUCCAGACUCCUACGGGAGGCAGCAGUGGGGAAUUGUUCGCAAUGGGCGCAAGCCUGACGACGCAACGCCGCGUGGAGGAUGAAGACUUUCGGGUCGG
rnacentral:rRNA from 1 species